rnacentral:rRNA from 1 species
CCUACGGGUGGCAGCAGUAGGGAAUAUUGGGCAAUGGUCGAAAGACUGACCCAGCCACGCCGCGUGCAGGAGGAAGGCCCUCUGGGUUGUAAACUGCUUUAGCAGGGGAAGAAAAAGGCCAUGCGUGGCAAAUUGACGGUACCCUGAGAAUAAGCACCGGCUAACUACGUGCCAGCAGCCGCGGUAAUACGUAGGGUGCAAGCGUUGUCCGGAUUUAUUGGGUUUAAAGGGUGCGUAGGCGGCCUGCUAAGUCAGUGUUUAAAUUCUGCAGCUUA